GACGAACGCUGGCGGCGUGCUUAACACAUGCAAGUCGUACGGUAAGGCCCUUUCGGGGGUACACGAGUGGCGAACGGGUGCGUAACACGUGAGUAACCUGCCCACAACUUUGGGAUAACGCUAGGAAACUGGUGCUAAUACUGGAUAUGUGCUCCUGCUGCAUGGUGGGGGUUGGAAAGCUCCGGCGGUUGUGGAUGGACUCGCGGCCUAUCAGCUUGUUGGUGGGGUAGUGGCCUACCAAGGCGGCGACGGGUAGCCGGCCUGAGAGGGUGACCGGCCACAUUGGGACGGAGAUACGGCCCAGACUCCUACGGGAGGCAGCAGUGGGGAAUAUUGCACAAUGGGCGCAAGCCUGAUGCAGCAACGCCGCGUGCGGGAUGACGGCCUUCGGGUUGUAAACCGCUUUCAGCAGGGACGAAGCUUUUUGUGACGGUACCUGCAGAAGAAGCACCGGCUAACUACGUG
rnacentral:rRNA from 1 species